ACGACCAUAUCAAGUUGAAAAACCGAUCCCAUCCGAUUAGCGAAGUUAAGCAACGUUGAACAUGAUACGUACCUAGAUGAGUGACCACUUGGAAAUAACAGGUGUUGUAAU